ensembl:snoRNA
AUCCUUUUGUACUUCAUAAGUGUGAUGAUUGGGUGUUCACACCAUUGUGUGAUAUGUGCCACCCUUAAGCCUUGUUAUGGCAUCAGCACAUUACCCAUCUGAUG